GUUUCACCAUAUUAGCCAGGAUGGUCUCGAUCUCCUGACCUUGUGAUCUGCCCAUCUUGGCCUCCCAAAGUGCUGGGAUUACAGGCAUGAGCCACCGCGCCCGGCCUACCAUCCAUUUUUUUUAAAGGCAUAAUGUUUUGAAUGAUUUCUGAAGAUUGCAUACAAUUUCAGGUAGUGCCUUGCCCCUGGAAACUAUCAGUGAAGGGUUAUUUGGGAAUCAUUGAUCCCUCUGUGGGUCAGCUCCAGUGUUGUGCCAUCUCCACCGUCAUCAUUCUCAUCCCAUGGCCUGAUGAAUUCAAUGUGCUCUUCUGUGUUCCAAGGACAGAGACAAGCUCUGGGGACAAAGAAAGAACAGUUAUUAUAUGAAGUUCAAACCUACCUUCACAAGUUAUGUUUGGGUCUUGAAAGAUUGGGACCUCAGUAAACUAAGCAGAAAACUGUGCUAAUUAUUUUUCUCACAAAAUGUUUCCCCUUUGUUUUCAUUGUGCACCUUUUUCCUGCCCCUUCUACUCUGCGAGUAACAGAUGAUGACUCCAAUUCAUUUAGUGCUUUCACAGUAAAUCACUAGCCAGCCUUUAUUACCCAUCUUCAGAAACAGUAUUAGUUUAUGGUACUGGUUUAUUCUGUGCAUGAUUCAG
rnacentral:lncRNA from 10 species